ACGGGGUGCAGCAGGCGCGAAACCUCCGCAAUACACGAAAGUGUGACAGGGCUAUCCCGAGUGCCGUCCGCUGAGGAUGGCUUUUACCCAGUCUAGAAAGCUGGGAGAAUAAGGAGAGGGCAAGUCUGGUGUCAGCCGCCGCGGUAAUACCAGCUCUCCGAGUGGUGUGGAUGUUUAUUGGGCCUAAAGCAUCCAUAGCUGGCCAAGCCAGUCCCCUGUUAAAUCCACCGAAUCAAUCGUUGGAUUGCGGGGGAUACUGCUCGGCUAGGGGACGGGAGAGGCAGACGGUAUUUCCGGGGUAAGGGUGAAAUCUUAUAAUCCCGGGAAGACCACCAGUGGCGAAGGCUGUCUGCUAGAACGCGCCCGACGGUGAGGGAUGAAAGCUGGGGUAGCGAACCGGAUUAGAUACCCGGGUAGUCCCAGCCGUAAACGAUGCAGGCUAGGUGUUUGGGCGGCCACGUGCCGCUCUAGUGCCGCAGGGAAGCUGUUAAGCCUGCCGCCUGGGGAGUACGAUCGCAAGAUUGAAACUUAAAGGAAUUGGCGGGGGAGCAC
rnacentral:rRNA from 1 species